CUUCUGUGAUGAUAUGAUGACGAGACAGAACAUGACUCACUGGUUCUGCAGUUGCUGGUUCAGGUCCAUGUUCUGUGGUCCUGCUCCAGUUCCUCAGAGCAGAGGUCUUUCCACCUGAAGACACAGAGGCAUUUGUCAGAGAAGG
ensembl:snoRNA SNORD15 Small nucleolar RNA SNORD15